CGAAUGGAAUCCUGGGGCGUUGGUUUUGUAUUCAAUAAUUUCACCUGCUCCCAACUGUUCUUUAUCUUUAUCUAUCUGCUGCGAGUCUGUACACCGGGUAUUGGACGUUAUCUGCACGUAGACACCCGGACUUUUAUCAGAUGAAUUCUACCGACGUCUCAGAAUGUCUCAAUUAUUCAUUGCCAGGAGGAAUUGGAUCAAUGACGCCUCAACCUGGUGGAUAUACACUUUUUUCAGCUCUUCUUCAUCGUCACCUCUCACUUAUUCAAAUUCCUGGGGAUUUUUACAACGACGGGAGGUUGGUCGUCGGUUGGCGGACGUCUGGGGGAUCGGGGAAGUGGGUUAACUGGUGACCGGUGGGGUGAUAACGAGAGCGAAGUGCUAACGAUGUUUCAACGUGCGAUUAUUUUCUGGUGGUAGGUCCUCGUCGUCGGUGGGUAAUCGAUCAGAUAGUUUUUAUGGGGAUGAUGAUCAGGGGGGAAUGUUAUGGACGAAAAUAUGGUGGAGGGAUGGGGUGGAGGGGGGGAUAUGGUGGGGUGGAGGAUUGGGAGGAAUUAGUUGAGUGUUGUCUUUGUGGGGGAAUUGAUUUGUAAUUGUAGUGGAUUUUUGGUGUUAGGGAUUAAACAAAUAAGUCAGGAAAUAUUUAAUGUUGAUUAUAUUUUUGUUUGUUAUAUUUUUGUUCGAGAU